rnacentral:rRNA from 1 species
GACGUAGGGCGCGAGCGUUGUCCGGAUUUAUUGGGCGUAAAGAGCUCGUAGGCGGUUUGUCGCGUCGGCCGUGAAAACUUGGGGCUUAACUCCAAGCUUGCGGUCGAUACGGGCAGACUUGAGUUCGGCAGGGGAGACUGGAAUUCCUGGUGUAGCGGUGAAAUGCGCAGAUAUCAGGAGGAACACCGGUGGCGAAGGCGGCUCUCUGGGCCUUACCUGACGCUGAGGAGCGAAAGCGUGGGUAGCGAACAGG